UAUUAAAAAUGUAAUCAAUUUGUACUAUUAAACUGACGUGGUUAACAGAAUACCCAGGCAAUAUUACAUAACGCCCUAUAUGUGUCUUGUGCUAACAUACAUGGGUUGAUUUUUAACAGUGAAAAUGAAUGAAAUUUUUAAUA
rfam:Gossypium raimondii Chr10_contig_1451, whole genome shotgun sequence.